CUACGGGAUGCAGCAGUGAGGAAUAUUGCAUAAUGGGGGAAACCCUGAUGCAGCAACGCCGCGUGGAGGAUGACGCAUUUCGGUGUGUAAACUCCUUUUAUCAGAGAAGAAAAUGACGGUAUCUGACGAAUAAGCACCGGCUAACUCCGUGCCAGCAGCCGCGGUAAUACGGAGGGUGCAAGCGUUAUUCGGGAUCACUGGGCGUAAAGGACGCGUAGGCGGGUUUGCCAGUCAGGUGUGAAAUCCUAUGGCUCAACCAUAGAACUGCACUUGAAACUGCGAACCUAGAGUAUGGAAGGGGCAGAUGGAAUUAGUGGUGUAGGGGUAAAAUCCGUAGAUAUCACUAGGAAUACCAAAAGCGAAGGCGAUCUGCUGGGACAUUACUGACGCUAAGGCGUGAAAGCGUGGGGAGCAAACAGGAUUAGAUACCCCAGUAGUC
rnacentral:rRNA from 1 species